UACGUAGGGCGCAAGCGUUGUCCGGAAUUAUUGGGCGUAAAGAGCUCGUAGGCGGUUUGUCACGUCGGAUGUGAAAGCCCCGGGCUUAACCUGGGAACUGCGUUUGAAACUGGGAGACUUGAGUGUGGCAGAGGGGGGUGGAAUUCCACGUGUAGCAGUGAAAUGCGUAGAUAUGUGGAGGAACACCGAUGGCGAAGGCAGCCCCCUGGGUUAACACUGACGCUCAUGCACGAAAGCGUGGGGAGCAAACAGG
rnacentral:rRNA from 1 species